GGCUGACAGCAGAGCAGAAGGAGCAUAGGGUCCUGGCCAGCAGGGGCUCAAUUGGGCCAGACUGGCUCCCCUCUGUCCCUGCUGGUGCAGCCUAGCCCAGCUCCAUAGACCCCUGACAGCCUAUGCCCCACGCUCCUGCUGCCCCACUUUGGGCCCCGCUGGCACUGGCCCUGGGACACCGGUGUGGCCCCACGCUCUCGCCCAACUAUUGCUGCACUCCCAUGUACCUGCUCGCUCCCACUCCCCCUCCAACCCCUGCUGCCACUUUCCCCACUUUCCUGCCUACUGCCACAGCACUCCAGCACCACAUGGUUCCCAGCUGCAUGGCCAUGACCACAGAACUCAGCAGGAACUGGCACGGCCCUGAGGACUGGGGUGAUCACUCACAGACCUCCCUGCCUCCCUCCCCUGCUCCUUCUUAUCUGAAUUUCCCUCUGGUGCAGGGAGGCAGGAACAGCCCCACAGUCCCAGGCCAGAAGCCUCUACUAGGCAGGGGCUUCCAGUUGGGGUAAGGGGGAAUAAGUGAGUCUUGCUGUUGGGUCCUGCCACCAGCUCCCCCUGGGUCCUACUGCCCCUGUCAUCUUUGACAGGUAGCCAGGAGCAGAUAAAUAUUACUUUUCUAAAUUUUUUAGAAGCCCCAUGGGCCAAUAGAAUGACCUGGUGGGCUGGAUUCAGCCCAUGGGCUAUAUUUUGCCCACCCCGAUGUAUACUGCUAGACAUUUCGUAUUGUACUUGUUUAACAAACACAGUUAGAUGGACCUCACCUGGCCAAUGUAGUUCCUUCAUGGUAAACAUAUGUUGCAUAAAGAGCAGAGAACAUACCACCAGUGAUGAUAUUUCACUAACCCUAGCAGAAAUGUUGCUUGUUAGACUCUAAUACAUUGCAUUCUUCCAGAUGUUCUGUCACUCCUAAAGAUUUUUUCAUAGACAAAUGAAUCUCUUUUGUAGUGGCAGCUUAUUCAGACACAGGUUCUUCAGUGAAAAUAUCCUUUUCUUUAAAGAUUCCAUAGUGCAGGAACCAAAGCCUGUUGCCUCCCAUUCCCUGAUCUAUUUGUAGUCCAGGGUCCCAUCUGGUUCGAGGAUGACUACAUCCCACAGUGUUACGCAACAAAGACAGCAAUGCCAUAUAUGCUUGCAAACCAGGCUCUAGGCUUUAACAGUAACUGCAACUACAUCAGUUGCUCUGACUUAGGCUGAGACCAGGCAGUUCUGUUCCUUUCUGGGCAAUGAGAGUAGUAAUAAUCAGUGAUCAACAAAUUUUAAUUUAUUUAGAAGGGAAACAUUUCACAGAAAACAUAGCUUAAAAAUAGCUGUAUGUUUAUCUGUUCCAUAAGGCUUUCCAUUCCUGGAUUUGGGAAGACUCGCCUUUAGACUGUCUCCACACAGUCUCUCUGCCUGUAUCAGCCUGCCUAGCUCCAGGGACACAGGGACAGUAUCAAAACAUUGCCUGCCACACCCAGCACAUAGUCCAGCAGAUGAAAUGUAUCUCAGGGUUUUCAACUGGACUAUAUUGGAAGAAAGAUCUGGGCUUCACUGUGGGCACCUCAGCCCUACUCCAUGGGCAGCAGCAGUGCAAAAGCAAGAAAAAUGUAAGAACACAUGAGAAUGGGAUGGACUGUCCUCCACAGAAUACCAUAAUGGCAUGUACACAAAAAAGGUGGCACUGGGGCUGGCAGGCCAUCUUGGCUCAAUAGGGAAGUUGCAGAUCUUCUAAAAAAGAAAAGGGAGACUUACCAACAAUGGACGCUAGGAAUAGGGCCCCAAGGAGAUCUACAUAAGAUUGGCCCACACCUGUAGGGGGCUGAUUAGAAAAGCAAAGGCAGUGACCAAAUUCAGGUUAGCAACUGAAAUCAAGGACAAUAAAAAGUUCUUCUAUAAGUAUGUAGGUAAUAGGAGAAAAACCAGUGGAAACGUGGGACCACUGCUCAAUGCAUCUGGACAUCUGAUCACCAACACCAAGGUGAAAACUGAACUGCUGAAUGAGUACUUUGUAUCUGUAUUCCACCAGUCUAAGAGUGACAGCCUGCCAAUUGCAAAUAUGACACAGAAUAGUCAUAGAAAGAUGAUCACCUGCCAACAGACAAUGUAGAGGUGGUGAAAGACAAGCUAGAGAGGCUGGAGCCAGAAGCAGUGACAGCACAGCAGCUGAGAGGAGGCAAGUCCUCGGUGCCCAGAGCAGGGCACAGGGUGGGAGAAGCCUGGCAGUGCAGGAAGGCCUGGAGAGGCACUUCAGUGGUUGCACAGAGGAGACCCAUUGAGCUGCAUCCUGACCACCACCACCACCUGAGGGAGCGUGAGUCAUUGUGCCCUUGGGUCUCACUGGGGAAGGUCACUUGGGGCAGGCAACCCAGAGAAAGAGGCUGGGUGAGCAGUCCCCUGCCCAGGCAAGGGCCUGAAGUGAGGGGGCCCAUGGUGCUUCCUGAACACCACCCACUCUGAGCAGGGAUAUAUAGAUUAAGGAAUAAUGUUAUUAAGAAUGUUUGUGUCUGCGCCUUAUAUUUUGUAAUUGAGAUGUUGUAUUAUGAUGUUGCAUUGCAUUGAUGUUGCUGCAAUUAUUUGGUUGUGAUGGGUAAGCAGUGGUAUCAUAGAACAAAGUAAUUUCUGAUUUUAUUUUGUGGGUAUAUUGUUUUCUCUGUUGUGGUUAGGAGUGAUUUUCCCACAGUGUUAUCUAGGGUUUGACCUGGGUUAUUGGUAAAUGUUCACUGUGUAAACAUAUGUAUAUGAUAUUUAGUUUUAUGUUUAGGUAUAUUAUAAUUCCAUAAACUAUAAAUAGUUAAGAGCAUUGGCAUGGAGUUGACUGUAUAGAGGAAAGAGGGACCCACGCUCAUAUCACCAGUGUCCCUCUUACAGCACUGUUGUCUGUCUCAUCUAUCCCUUCCAAUUGAGGACAGGCACACCCUUGGGUGUUCCCAGAUUACACUAGCCAAUUCCUGCUAGCACGUACCACAGCUCAGCCACAUCCCACUGCCAUCUGUCUGGGAUCUCUCCAUCACAUCCUUCUCUUCUGGCUGCUCCUAGCUUCCACUUCCUCCAGUUCCCUGGGGACUUCUAGGAGUUGUAUUUCACAUUGCAGUUCACAUUACAGUACAUUCCUCCUCCAUAAAGCAUGGUGCCCCCCUCUCCCCAUAUAAAAUAGAAACACGGUACUGACAUAGGGGUGGGGAUCUAGGAACGGACAUAUUUGGUCACUAAUUGGCACAAACAUGCUGUGCUGAGAGAGUAGAGUGUACCUGAGGGCAGACAUGUUUCAGAAUCAGAACAGCGGUGCUGUUGCAGAAGUUAGGAGCUGCAUGCAGGAGUUAGGAGCUGUCAUAAGCACACAGCACUGAGACAGGGUUUGGAGUUGAGAAUGGGCAUGUACGGUGGCUGGAACUGACACACACUACUGAGAUUGAGGUGUGCAGCUGAGAACAGAUAGUCCGAGUGCCUGGCACAAGCACAAACAUUGACACAGUGCUGAGAAAUGGAGAAUGGGUAUGCCCAGUGCUUGGCACUAAUGCACAGUGCUGCUUGCACCCUGGCUGAGCUCAGGAUUUCCCCUGUACUGGGUUCUACACAGAUCCCAAAGGAGAUCAGGACCCUCACUUUUCUGAAGAGACACAGGAGUAGGAAGGAGCACAGAAUGGGAGAGAUGUGCUGGACUUGGGGCACAAAGUUCCUUAAAGAAUUAGGGAGCUGGUGGUCUAAUUCCCUUGGGAUCUGUUAAUGGGGGAGCUGGUCUUUGAAAUGGGGGAAACUUCUGCUGUGCCAGGUUAGCUUGCCUCCAGAUGGAGGGGAUCAGAAGUCAUAUGCCUUGGAGCUAGAACAGGGAGAGAUAAAAGAGCAGCCUGGGUCAGACAGGAUAUGGUGGUGUGGGUCUCCCUCCUUUCCUACUUUUGGUGUUGGUGCCUUCUGAGGGGCCUCUAGGACAAAAGCAAUCACCCAUUAGGGAGCAACAUUUGGGAUAAUCAUACUUAACUUUCUUCCUCACUGAUUAAAAAAAUGAAAAAUAUUUGAGAAGGAAAUAUUUGAGUAAUACUUGGAGACCAAUGAAAGGACACAUUCCCUUACACCCUUGAACUUUUCAAGGGCAAAAGAUGGGGAAAGUAUGUAUUUUCCCCUUUCGAGUUGUUUUUUAAUUAAAAAAAAAGAAUUUAUAUAGAAGUCUUUGAACUAUGGUCUUAACCGCAUAGUUGCUUUGCCUAGAGUGGUGGAAGGAGAGUGAGAAUGUGAUUGGGUUACAAACCUGUUUGCAAUCAUCUUUGUAUGUUGAUGAUGUUAUUUAUUAUGAACUUUAGAUAAUGUUAAUAUUUGAGUCUGAUCUUAAAUCUCAUCUACACAGGAACAUUGGAACAAAUUCUGCCUUCAGUGAAAUCAAAGAUUCUUCAUCCCUUGCCCUCCCUGGGUGCAUCCCCAUGAGCAGGCAUGUGCGUUUCCCUGUGGACAAGUAGCAGCAGCACACCUUGUAUCGCUGGAACUUGUCCCCAGGGAACACCUAUGCCACACUCCAGUGUGCAGCAGAUUACCCCAGCUGGGCAGGUGCUGGCCCCAGCAGCUUUACUUGGGGUCCUGGGAGAGCUGCAGCCAGUAGCCAUGUGCGCUGCAAAGUAGCAGAGCAGGGAGUGCUUGCAUGUGUGGUGUGUGGUGCUACAGAUGGGGCUGCAGCACCACAUAUUGCACAUCCGUGCUCGUCUGGAUGCAUCCCCAUCAGACAGUGCAACAACUGUGCACAUUAGAAUACUUUGGUAGGAUGUCUGCUUUAAGUAAUAAAUACAUUAAAGGAGUUGUCACUAGGUGUCAACAGAAACUGGGUGGAAGGGAGGUCCGUUUCAUUCACUGGGUGGUCAACUCUUACUUGGCCAGGCAGAAGGAAAUAAACAAAAUUUUCAGUAUAUCCCACUGUAAGCUGGGGUUCCUUAGACAUUUUGACAAGAGAUAUUGUUAACAGUUGAGAAAUGUUAUAGUAUCUGGAAAUCACUUUGUAAAGCAUCUAAUUCAUUGCUUUUAAGAUUUUUUCAGAAAAAGAUAUUAAAUGGAUUUUAUUGGACUCCCAAUAAAAUGGUUCCUUAAAGCAGUACUUACCUCAAAUGACUACUGCUGGAGAUGUGGAAACCAUGUUGGGUCUCUUAGUCAUAUUUUUUAUUUUGUCCUAAAAGUACUAGUUUUUGGCUUAGCAUUUGCGCAGCACUUUCUAAGACACUUAAAAUUAACAUGGUACCAUCACCAGAUUUAUACAUAUUGGGGAUUAUAGAUUCAUUACCAUUGUCUGUACACAUGGCUAGCUAUAAUAUUUUUGAUGAUUAAACGAGUAAUUUUAAAGAAAUGGAAAAUUCCCAGCGUACCUUCAUUCCCAGAAUGGUUAAAAGAACUUAUGCACAGUGCAUUAAUGAAAAAGAUACUGGACUCAAUAUGAAGCAGUAUGAUGCAAUAUGAAUCAUCUAUUAAGUUUAUAAGUUGAUUUGUUUGUGUCUUGGUAUCCUUGAAAUAUAUAUGUAUAUUUGUUAGUUGGUUGUCAAGCUCUCAUCUUCCCCUAGUCUUUAUUAAAUUUAUAGUAUGUAUGUUUAAUUA